rnacentral:rRNA from 1 species
GACGAACGCUGGCGGCGUGCCUAACACAUGCAAGUCGAGCGAGGGACUUCGGUCCCUAGCGGCGGACGGGUGAGUAACACGUGGGUAACCUGCCUCAUAGAGGGGGAUAGCCUCCCGAAAGGGAGAUUAAUACCGCAUAAUAUCAUGCUAACGCAUGUUAGAAUGAUCAAAGGAGCAAUCCGCUAUGAGAUGGACCCGCGGCGCAUUAGCUAGUUGGUGAGGUAACGGCUCACCAAGGCGACGAUGCGUAGCCGACCUGAGAGGGUGAUCGGCAACAUUGGAACUGAGACACGGUCCAGACUCCUACGGGAGGCAGCAGUGGGGAAUAUUGCACAAUGGGCGAAAGCCUGAUGCAGCAACGCCGCGUGAGUGAAGAAGGCCUUCGGGUUGUAAAGCUCUGUCUUUUGGGACGAUAAUGACGGUACCAAAGGAGGAAGCCACGGCUAACUACGUGCCAGCCGCCGCCGUAACAC